UGGGUAAUACUAAGUGGAGGACCGAACCGACUGAUGUUGAAAAAUCAGCGGAUGAGUUGUGGUUAGGGGUGAAAUGCCAAUCGAACCCGGAGCUAGCUGGUUCUCCCCGAAAUACGUUGAGGCGUAGCGUCUCGUGCUCCAGCAGGGGGGUAAAGCCACCAUUUCGGUGCGGGCUGCGAGAGCGGUACCAAAUCGAGAUGAACUCUGAAUACCCUGUGUGUAGCGAGGCAGUCAGACUGUGGGGGAUAAGCUCCAUGGUCGAGAGGGAAACAGCCCAGACCGCCAGUUAAGGUCCCCAAAUCAACACUAAGUGAUAAAGGAGGUGGGAUUGCCCAGACAACCAGGAGGUUUGCCUAGAAGCAGCCAUCCUCAAAGGAGUGCGUAAUAGCUCACUGGUCGAGCGAUCCUGCGCCGAAAAUGAACGGGGCUAAGUGUUGUACCGAAGCUGCGGUUUUAUGGUAGGGGAGCGUUCUAUGUGGGGCGAAGCGUUAGCGUGAGCGGGCGUGGACUGCAUAGAAGUGAGAAUGUCGGCUUGAGUAGCGAAAACAUGGGUGAGAAUCCCAUGCACCGAAACCCUAAGGGUUCCUCCGGCAGGCUCGUCCGCGGAGGGUUAGUCUGGACCUAAGGCGAGGCCGAAAGGCGUAGUCGAUGGAUAACAGGUCAACAUUCCUGUACCGGUUAUGUUUUGGGAAGAGGGACGGAGAAGGCUAGCCAAGCCAGAUGUUGGUUACUGGUUCAAGCGUUCGAGGCGUUGAGGAGCGGCGAAAACGUUCCGAGCUGAGGCGUGAGUACGAGCUGCUACGGCAGCGAAGUUGGUGAUGUCAAGCUUCCAAGAAAAGCUCUAUACCCGUUAAGGCAUAACUGCCAGUACCCGAAACCGACACAGGUGGGGUGGUAGAGAAUACCGAGGUGCGCGAGGUAACUCUCUCUAAGGAACUCGGCAAAAUGGCCCCGUAACUUCGGGAGAAGGGGUGCCACCGCAAGGUGGUCGCAGUGAAGAGGCCCUGGCGACUGUUUACCAAAAACACAGGUCUCCGCUAAGUCGCAAGACGAUGUAUGGGGGCUGACGCCUGCCCAGUGCCGGAAGGUUAAGGAAGCCGGUCAGCGUAAGCGAAGCUGGCGACUGAAGCCCCGGUGAACGGCGGCCGUAACUAUAACGGUCCUAAGGUAGCGAAAUUCCUUGUCGGGUAAGUUCCGACCCGCACGAAAGGCGUAACGAUCAGGGCGCUGUCUCGGAGAGAGGCAGCUCAUCACAUUUGUUCAUGAACGUUAGGCGGAAGGCAUAGCCAACAUCACGG
rnacentral:rRNA from 1 species